UACGUAGGGUGCGAGCGUUAAUCGGAAUUACUGGGCGUAAAGCGUGCGCAGGCGGCCAUGCAAGACAGAUGUGAAAUCCCCGGGCUCAACCUGGGAACUGCAUUUGUGACUGCAUGGCUAGAGUACGGUAGAGGGGGAUGGAAUUCCGCGUGUAGCAGUGAAAUGCGUAGAUAUGCGGAGGAACACCGAUGGCGAAGGCAAUCCCCUGGACCUGUACUGACGCUGAGGCGCGAAGGCUAGGGGAGCGAACGGG
rnacentral:rRNA from 1 species